rnacentral:rRNA from 1 species
UACGGAGGGGGCUAGCGUUGUUCGGAAUUACUGGGCGUAAAGCGCACGUAGGCGGCUUUGUAAGUUAGAGGUGAAAGCCCGGGGCUCAACUCCGGAAUUGCCUUUAAGACUGCAUCGCUAGAAUUGUGGAGAGGUAAGUGGAAUUCCGAGUGUAGAGGUGAAAUGCGUAGAUAUCCGGAGGAACACCGGUGGCGAAGGCGGCUUGCCUGGACCGAUGACUGACGCUGAGGCGCGAAAGCGUAGGGGAGCAAACGGGAUUG